rfam:Triticum urartu cultivar G1812 contig474277, whole genome shotgun sequence.
AUACUACUCCCUUCGUUUCAAAUUACUCGUCGCAGAAAUGGAUGUAUCUAGAACUAAAAUACAUCUAGAUACAUCCAUACCCGCGGCAAGUACUUCAGAACGGAGGGAGUAGGAC